rnacentral:rRNA from 1 species
AAGCCCGCUAACGAGCGCAACCCUCGCUGUGUGUUACAAGUGUCACACGGAACUGCCGGUCAUAACCGGAGGAAGGUGGGGAUGACGUCAAGUCAGCAUGGCCUUUAUAUCCUGGGCUACACACACGCUACAAUGGGAAGGGACAAUAGGUUGCGAAGCCGCGAGGCGGAGCCAAUCCAGCAAAACUCCCUCAGUUCAGAUUGCAGGCUGCAACUCGCCUGCAUGAAGUUGGAGUUGCUAGUAAACGCAGGUCAGCCAUACUGCGUUGAAUACGUUCCCGGGGCUU